ACCGACAAAUGGCAAACCGGCUGAAAAACCGGGACGCAAAGCCAGGAGGCUAAAGCGGAGUCCGCUCCGCCACGCCCGUCCGGCCGCCGCA
rfam:Bacteroides capillosus ATCC 29799 B_capillosus-2.0.1_Cont30, whole genome shotgun sequence.